GUAAGUCUUAAUUACCCACGAUGUGAGUUUUUGCACUAUUGGCUGGUGGAGUGAACUGAUGGACAGAUGCAGUAAUGCCAGCAUCAAGGACUUUUCCAAUGAGUUGGCUCUUCACAUCUGGUGUCCAAAGUAUUGGAGCUUCAACACCAGUCCUUCCAGUGAAUAUUCAGGGUUGAUUUCCUUUAGGAUUGACUGGUUUGAUCUCCUUGUUGUAUAAGGGACUCUUAAGAGUCUUCUCCAGCAUGAAUUCAGUAGGACCUCAUCUUAAUUAACGACAUCUCCAAAGAUCCUGUUUCCAAAGAGGCUGAACUCACAGCAUUGCCUUUCUGGGAUAAACCCCAAUGGGUUAUGAAGCUAUUGCACCCAUGCUAAGUUGCUUCAGUUGUGUCCGACUCUGCGACCCUACAGAUAGCAGCCUGCCAGUCUCCUCUGUCCAUGGGGUUCUCCAGGCAAGAAUACUGGAGCAGGUUGCCAUUUCCUCCUCCAGGGGAUCUUCCUGACCCAGGGAUCGAACCUGGGUCUCCUGUAUCCUUUUGCAUUGGCAGCAGGCUUUUUACCACUAGUGCCACCUGGGAAACCCUAUGAAGAGAGAUAUAAAAAUUACAUGGGUUUGCGGAGUUCCCUGGUGGCUCAGGGGUAAAGAAGCUGCCUGCCAGUGCAGGAGACAUGGGUUUGAUCCCUGGUUCUUGAAGAUCCCACAUGCCAAGGAGCAACUAAGCCUGUGCACCACAACUACUGAGCCUGUGAUCUAGAACCCAGAACCAGAACUACUGAGCCAAUGAGCCAUACUACUGAAGCCCACACACCCGAGAGCCCCUGCUCCUCAACAGGAGAAGCUCCACAGUGGGAAGCCCACACACCACAACCGGAGAGUAGCCUCUGCUCCCCACACUAGAGAAAAAGCAGAGAAGAUCCAGCACAGCCAAAA
ensembl:lncRNA